rnacentral:tRNA from 1 species
GGAGAGGUGGCAGAGCGGUUGAACGCGGCGGUCUUGAAAACCGUUAGACCCCUCGGGGUCUCGUGAGUUCGAAUCUCACCCUCUCCG